UAGAUCACUUAUCUGCCCACCCAGGCUCUCCUGAGACCGGCGAAAGCGUGUGGCACGUCUGCCAACAGCCCCGGUUCACUGGGUUUGUUGAUGCUCUUCUGUGCAUGAUGAACAGAUUGAGGAGAAGUUCAUGCUAAUACCCAGCCUCAAACACGACAGCCCCUUCACGACAGCAUUGCCUAUUCAACAAUCAUCAAACCACAGAAGAGACGGGAUGAGGCAGACGGAGGCGAAGGGUCACACAAGCAGAUGUCAU